ACCCAAAAGAUCGAAUGGGGAGAUUCAUCGUCGACGGCGUUGGCUACCGUUUGUGCGCGAUGCUCCGGGUGGGACCCUGUGGUUCCAUUGGCGAGGGCACGCCACCUUCGGAUCGAACUUUCCUGCGUCGUAGUCGUGCACUUCUCCCCUAGUAGGACGUCGCGACCCGUUGUGUGUCGGUCUACGGCCCGAGCGGGAGACUGUCGCGUCGCUUCGGCGCACGCGGCAGACCCUCGGUCGCCCGGCCGGCUGCACGACGGUACACCAACGGUAUCGGGCCGCAGCCAAUCCAUUCUCGAAUGUGUGUGCGUCCAUCCCGCCGCAAGCUCGGUCAGUUCUUACCCGGAGGUACGGACCCUGUGCCGUCCCCGGGCCUGGCCAGCUGUUAGCAGGCGGUGUCCUCGGACCGGCCAAACCUCGGAUUACCGGUCGGCGACGCUAUUGCUUUGGGUACUCUCAGGACCCGUCUUGAAACACGGACCAAGGAGUCUAACAUGUGCGCGAGUCAUUGGGAUGCACAAACCUAAAGGCGAAAUGAAAGUGAAAGUCGGCCUUCGCGCCGAUCGAGGGAGGAUGGGCCGCGUAACCAUGCGGCCCCGCACUCCCGGGGCGUCUCGUUCUCACUGCGAGAAGAGGCGCACCUAGAGCGUACACGUUGGGACCCGAAAGAUGGUGAACUAUGCCUGGUCAGGACGAAGUCAGGGGAAACCCUGAUGGAGGUCCGUAGCGAUUCUGACGUGCAAAUCGAUCGUCGGAACUGGGUAUAGGGGCGAAAGACUAAUCGAA
rnacentral:rRNA from 1 species